UGAUAGGUCAGGUGUGGAAGUGCAGUAAUGCAUUAAGCUAACUGAUACUAAUUGCCCGUACGGCUUGUCCCUAUAACCUUAGCAGGU
rnacentral:rRNA from 1 species